rnacentral:tRNA from 1 species
GGGUAUGUAGCUCAGUUGGUAGAGCUCUUGACUAGCAUACAUGAAGCCCUGGGUUUGAUCCCCAGCACCA